rnacentral:rRNA from 1 species
GACGAACGCUGGCGGCGUGCUUAACACAUGCAAGUCGAACGAAGUGGCGAACGGGUGAGUAACGCGUAAUCAACCUGCCCUUCAGAGGGGGACAACAGUUGGCAACGACUGCUAAUACCGCAUCCUGAAGGUGGGGAUUGCGUCUGAUUAGCUAGUUGGAGGGGUAACGGCCCACCAAGGCGACGGUCAGUAGCCGGUCUGGGAGGAUGAACGGCAACAUUGGGACGGGGAAACGGCCCAGACGCCUACGGGAGGCAGCAGUGGGGAAUCGUCCGCAAUGGACGAAAGUCUGACGGAGCAACGCCGCGGGAGUGAUGACGGCCUUCGGGUUGUAAAGCUCUGUUAAUCGGGACGCGGUACCGGAAUAGAAAGCCACGGCUAACUACGUGCCAGCAGCCGCGGUAAUUC